rnacentral:rRNA from 1 species
UACGGAGGGUGCAAGCGUUAAUCGGAAUUACUGGGCGUAAAGCGCACGUAGGCGGUAAGUUAAGCGGGAUGUGAAAUCCCCGGGCUCAACCUGGGAACUGCAUUUCGAACUGGCUUGCUAGAGUACAGAAGAGGAUGGUGGAAUUUCCAGUGUAGCGGUGAAAUGCGUAGAGAUUGGAAGGAACAUCAGUGGCGAAGGCGGCCAUCUGGUCUGAUACUGACGCUGAGGUGCGAAAGCGUGGGGAGCAAACAGG